UGUGCCAGUUCGUCCUGAUUUCAUGCUGUGUUGUCCUGUUUGACCUGAGUUUGUCCUUGCUCCAUGUCCAGUCCAAUCCAGUCAAGUCUUGUCAAGUCAAGUCAGCGGCACUGCUGACGUGAUUGUUGACGGAGCAGACGAGCUGUCCUGACACGCCUGGUUUCAGAGUGAUCUCCUUGUUGUCCUCAUCAGCAGAGAGGAGCUGGCUGUCCAUCAGUGUGUGUCCAUCCAGAGUCCAGCUGUACUGAGGACUGUCGCCCUCCUCAGAGGAGCAGGACACCCUCACCUCUCCCUGGGACAGACACUCAGAGGCCAGCAGGGGAGACGACACGGGGGCUGAGGGACACACACUCACAUCACUUUGCACAUGGACACAGUCUUUGCAGUGCAGCUUCUUUGAGUCAUGAGGUGCAAGUCAUUAUGUGGAAGUGGGUUUUUGUCAUGACACUGGUGUCUUUGUACUGUUUCAUAUUAUUCAAAGAGUAAAAUACACAAAAUGUACAACAUACUAAUUAAUAAGAUACUGUAAUAUUGCAGUUUUUUUCUAAUUUAAUAAAAUUAUAUGACUAACACUUUA